UGAAACCCAAACAUUUCGCCACAUCAGCAAAAAGGGCCAUGCGACGUACUAAAAGAACAAGUUCGGAGGUACUUAAGACAAGUCAAAGUUCAGGUGUACCAUGAAUAAAACUCGACAAGUUCAGGGGAGUAAUAGAUACUUCUCUUUUUAUUAAAUAAUAAUUACGGAAUACUAUAUAUAGAGAGAGAGAGAAAUUAAUUAAAAACAUAAAAAUAAUUAAAUGUCAUAACAAAACAAACAUAAUACAAGAUUUAUAAUAAAAGAAAUCCUAAAAAUGUUUAAAAUUUAAAGCAUAUAACUAUCCAUAAAAGUGUGACAAUGUUAAAGUUGACACUUCAAGUAACUAAAGUCUCAAAAUAUCAAACACUUGUACUAGAUGAGUCCCCUAUUAGGGAGAGUAGGAUUACUAAAUGAGCGAGAAGAUAAUGCCAUAUCGCUCAUCAUGCGAGACCAUUGCUCCUCCAUAGAUUUGAAUUGAUCAUCACUUAAUUGCCUCAAACGGAAAACCUUCUGCUCUACUCGUUGUUGCACCUCCGCCUCUACACGCUCUUGAAAGACUCUUUCUCAAUUUUCUCUUAUAUGUAACACCUCUUUCUUAAGUAUUUUGAUGCGCUCUUCGGCAACAUGAUUG
rnacentral:lncRNA from 1 species